rnacentral:rRNA from 1 species
UACGUAGGGGGCAAGCGUUGUCCGGAAUCAUUGGGCGUAAAGAGCGUGUAGGCGGUCCGGUAAGUCCGCUGUGAAAGUCGGGGGCUCAACCCUCGAAAGCCGGUGGAUACUGUCGGACUAGAGUGCGGAAGAGGCGAGUGGAAUUCCUGGUGUAGCGGUGAAAUGCGCAGAUAUCAGGAGGAACACCAAUUGCGAAGGCAGCUCGCUGGGACGUUACUGACGCUGAGACGCGAAAGCGUGGGGAGCAAACAGG